UACGUAGGGGGCAAGCGUUGUCCGGAAUUAUUGGGCGUAAAGAGCGUGUAGGCGGUCCGGUAAGUCAGCUGUGAAAGUCAAGGGCUCAACCCUUGAAUGCCGGUUGAUACUGUCGGGCUAGAGUCCGGAAGAGGCGAGUGGAAUUCCCGGUGUAGCGGUGAAAUGCGCAGAUAUCGGGAGGAACACCAAUGGCGAAGGCGGCUUACUGGUCCGGUUCUGACGCUGAGGCGCGAAAGCGUGGGGAGCAAACAGG
rnacentral:rRNA from 1 species